AAAGUUAAUUUCAAACAACCUUAUUACAAUAUCAACAAAUUAAGAGAGUAACCGACCGUCCUUAAAGCAAAUGGUAAAGCGCUUGAUGGUUGGUAGCCGAAACCCAAAUUCGAAUCCUAAUUGAUUUACAUUUUUUGCUAAUUUUAUUUCUAAAUGAAAUAAACGAAGCGGUAGCAUGCUAUCUACCUCUCAAAAAAAAAAAAAAAAAAAACUUAAAUGGUAAAUU
rnacentral:lncRNA from 1 species